rnacentral:rRNA from 1 species
AUGAACGCUAGCGGCUAGGCUUAAUACAUGCAAGUCGUGGGGCAGCAUGAGUAGCAAUACUUGAUGGCGACCGGCAAACGGGUGAGGAACACGUACACAACCUUCCUUCAAGCGGGGAAUAGCCCAGAGAAAUUUGGAUUAAUACCCCAUAAUAUAUUUGAUAAGGCAUCUUAUUAAUAUUAAAGCUUCGGCACUUGAUGAUGGGUGUGCGGCUGAUUAGAUAGUUGGCGGGGUAACGGCCCACCAAGUCUACGAUCAGUAGCUGAUGUGAGAGCAUGAUCAGCCACACGGGCACUGAGACACGGGCCCGACUCCUACGGGAGGCAGCAGUAAGGAAUAUUGGACAAUGGACGAAAGUCUGAUCCAGCCAUGCCCGCGUGAAGGAUUAAGGUCCUCUGGAUUGUAAACUUCUUUUAUAUGGGACGAAAAAAGGGCAUUCUUGUUCACUUGACGGUACCAUAUGAAUAAGCACCGGCUAACUCCGUG